rnacentral:rRNA from 1 species
UACGUAGGGUGCAAGCGUUAAUCGGAAUUACUGGGCGUAAAGCGUGCGCAGGCGGUUCUAUAAGACAGAUGUGAAAUCCCCGGGCUCAACCUGGGAACUGCAUUUGUGACUGUAGAGCUGGAGUGCGGCAGAGGGGGAUGGAAUUCCGCGUGUAGCAGUGAAAUGCGUAGAUAUCUGGAGGAACACCGGUGGCGAAGGCGGCAUCCUGGACCGGCAUUGACGCUGAGGCGCGAAAGCUAGGGGAGCGAACAGG